GAAUAUUGGACAAUGGGCGCAAGCCUGAUCCAGCCAUGCCGCGUGUGUGAAGAAGGCCUUCGGGUUGUAAAGCACUUUUGUCCGGAAAGAAAUCCUUCGAAUUAAUACUUCGGAGGGAUGACGGUACCUCCAAAGGAAGCACCGGCUAACUCCGUGCCAGCAGCCGCGGUAAUACGGAGGGUGCGAGCGUUGUCCGGAAUCACUGGGCGUAAAGGGCGCGUAGGCGGCCUGAUAAGUAGGGGGUGAAAUCUUGCGGCUUAACCGCAAGGCUGCCUUCUAAACUGUCAGGCUAGAGCACAGUAGAGGCAGGUGGAAUUCCCGGUGUAGCGGUGGAAUGCGUAGAGAUCGGGAAGAACAUCAGUGGCGAAGGCGGCCUGCUGGGCUGUUGCUGACGCUGAGGCGCGACAGCGUGGGGAGCAAAC
rnacentral:rRNA from 1 species